rnacentral:misc_RNA from 1 species
CAGUGAACUAGGUAUUCCAAUAACGAGCAUUUGGUUAUAGAAAUAACCCAAAUGCAGUAUUAAAAUAAGGAAUAACAUUAGUACUGCAUGACAGUAUUUAGCAUGUCCAAUACUCUCUAUUAACACAUGUUUAAUACUGUAUUUAGCAUGUCCAAUAACUCUCUGAUAAAGUAUAUAUUAGCACAGUCUACUCAUGGUCAACUCUCUAUAGUGCAGUGGAUAUGACCAUUUUAUCAAUUUUAGGUUUAGAUUUGCAGUUUUAAAGUGCGGUUUAGGUUGGAAUUGUGCAGAUUGCCGGUAACACAUACACACACACUUCAUUACAAAUUCAGCCAGGAACUCCAACCGGAAUCUGUGGGCUUCUGAGCGGAAUAAGCCAGUUUCUGAGCCAAGUCUUGCUUCGGAAGGUAGUUGCGGUGCCAGUCAUCCACUGCUAUGUGAUCGUGGUCCUCGUAGUGGUGAUCGUGAUGCACAUCCUCGUGUACCACUACGGUACCACCUUCAUUCUUGUGGUCCAAAUAAAUCUUGAGAGCGAGCAAACCCAAGCCCCACAUUGCCACCAGGAGAAAUUUGAAACCGACGAAGGAAUUAAACAUCAUCAGCACAGAGAGCUGCAUCAGAAGCAAGAUUAUUCCUGACAAUUUGAGGCCACCUCAAUUGCUCACAUUGCCCAGUAAUGCAACCAGCAUUCGGAAUGACAUCAGCGACUCUUUUAGCUGCGAAGGUCGCAGCUACGGCUACUAUGCCGAUGUGGAAAACGAUUGUCAGCUUUUCCACGUCUGUUUGCCCAUGAAAUAUCAGGACGGCAGAACUCAAAUGUUCAGAUGGAGUUUCAUCUGCCCAGAAGAGACCGUUUUUAACCAAGAAUUGUUUACAUGUACUAGAUCGGAUGAGAGUCUCAUUGACUGUGCAGAAUCCCCUCGAUUUUACGAUUUAAAUCGCAAUUUUGGAAGUGCGGAAGUUGAAGCCACUGGAACCGAAUCAUCGAGCGGACUGGAAGAAGAACCACAGGAAGUUCCGAUUGAAGUGAUGCAAUCCAUUGGCCGCACCAAAUACAGAAAAGAUUGAACUCAAUAUUAAUUUUAGCAUUGUUCGUGGUUAAAUAAUACGUUAAUUUAUAAUGAGUAAUUUUCGGACACUUUAAAUCGGGUACUCGCUCCUAUGGUAUUACUUGAAUACCGUAGUAACAGAGUAAUUACUCGAGAAAAACACGCCGUUUUAUCAUACAAAGUGCUUGCAAAAAUGUCUAUCACGGCUAUGCUCCGAAAUAAAUAUUUAAAACACA